rnacentral:rRNA from 1 species
GAUGAACGCUAGCGGCAGGCUUAAUACAUGCAAGUCGAGGGGCAGCAGGACUGUAGCAAUACAGUUGCUGGCGACCGGCAAACGGGUGCGGAACACGUACGCAACUUACCCAAAACUGGGGAAUAGCCCGGGGAAACCCGGAUUAAUACCUCGUAACAUAAUUGAAUGGCAUCAUUUAAUUAUUAUAGCUCCGGCGGCUUGGGAUGUGAGUGCGCCUGAUUAGGUAGUUGGCGGGGUAACGGCCCACCAAGCCUACGAUCAGUAACUAGUGUGAGAGCACGACCAGUCACACGGGCACUGGGACACGGGCCCGACUCCUACGGGAGGCAGCAGUAAGGAAUAUUGGUCAAUGGACGCAAGUCUGAACCAGCCAUGCCGCGUGAAGGAUGAAGGUCCUCUGGAUUGUAAACUUCUUUUAUAUGGGAAGAAAUCCAUCUUUUCUUGGGUGGUUGACGGUACCAUAGGAAUAAGCACCGGCUAACUCCGUGCCAGCAGCAGCCGCAG